rnacentral:rRNA from 1 species
ACGCUGGCGGCACGCCUAACACAUGCAAGUCGAACGAAGUAGCAAUACUUAGUGGCAGACGGGUGAGUAACAUGUGGGUAUCUGCCCUUUGGCCUGGAAUAACACGAGGAAACUUGUGCUAAUACCGGAUAAGUCUUUACGGAGAAAGCUUUAUGCACCAUUGGAUGAGCCCGCACUUGAUUAGUUUGUUGGUAGGGUAAUGGCCUACCAAGACUGUGAUCAAUAGCUGAUUUGAGAGGAUGAUCAGCCACAUUGGGACUGAGACACGGCCCAAACUCCUACGGGAGGCAGCAGUGGGGAAUCUUGCACAAUGGAGGAAACUCUGAUGCAGCGAUGCCGCGUGAGUGAAGAAGGCCUUUGGGUUGUAAAGCUCUUUCGUCGGGGAAGAAAAUGACUGUACCCGAAUAAGAAGGUCCGGCUAACUUCGUGCCAGCAGCCGCGGUAAUACGAAGGGACCUAGCGUAGUUCGGAAUUACUGGGCUUAAAGAGUUCGUAGGUGGUUGAAAAAGUUGGUGGUGAAAUCCCAGAGCUUAACUCUGGAACUGCCAUCAAAACUUUUCAGCUAGAGUUUGAUAGAGGAAAGCAGAAUUUCUAGUGUAGAGGUGAAAUUCGUAGAUAUUAGAAAGAAUACCAAUUGCGAAGGCAGCUUUCUGGAUCAUUACUGACACUGAGGAACGAAAGCAUGGGUAGCGAAGAGGAUUAGAUACCCUCGUAGUCCAUGCCGUAAACGAUGUGUGUUAGACGUUGGAAAUUUAUUUUCAGUGUCGCAGCGAAAGCGAUAAACACACCGCCU